UAAGAUACAAAUACAUGUGAAAGUUUGAAACAAUCUACUCAAUGAAAAAAAAUCUAUCUAUCUUCUAUAUGUAAAGAAAUGUUUGCCUUUCUCCUGUGAUGCCACGUCAUCCGCCAGCUAGAUAAGUCGAUCGAUUUUACGCCGACACGUGUCGAGCCUUCCAGAAACGCACAGCUUCAUUUAUUCUAAAUCUGAUGGGCUUUAAUUGUUUGCCCAGAGCGGCCCAAACAAACAAAGUUCGUUCCUAACCUUAAUUCUAGUGACGCGGAUUCUUCUCUCCUCUUCUUCAACGUGCCGACACGGUCACCUUCAUCUUUCGUAAACCGACAAUGGAAUUUGUUGAAGGUGAUGGGAGACGAGAUUUUAAAGCUGAUCUAAGUGGUGCUAAUCUGUUCGUGUCCUUAGAAUGAAUUUCUUUACGCCAGAUAAGAGAAAUUCGAACCGUUACGGGAUGCAAUCAAUCGUCGUCAUUAGUGAUCAUCUUAACUGCUUAAUUCCACUUUUACCACCAUGUAUAAAAAGUUACGCCUUAAUUCCGUAAACAUCAUCCUUUGAUUCUUUUCAUUCCUCACGACGACAGUAAAAACUUUUUUUUUGAGCAGAGUGGCUAACUUAUCUCUCCUUCUUCUUGACGCUCAGAUACCUCUGGUGAUGUUGAGAAACAAACGCCUCCCUUUUCCUUAAAGAUCUACAUAUAACGUUAGGAAUAGAGUUCAUGGUGUUCUGGAGUUUCUGGUUUCAUAACUAGAACAUGGAGUUUUGGGAAGGUGAUGGGAGACGACUAUUUACGGUGAAUCUCUGGAGUGAGCUGCCGUUAGUGUCGUUUGUUCUGGCAAAUGGAAACCCGAAUUAUGGGUUUUUAGUGUUUAAUCUAUCCUUGCAGUCCCGGAUUGCAAACUUUAUACGGAUCAUAGGAUUAUAAACUGAACCUGAUCAACAUGAGCCAAGCUAAUCACAUGAGAUCUUUGAGUGAGAGUCAAUACCUAUGGCAAGACAACUGAUUUUGCGUAUAAUUAUAUCAUCAUAUAAUUGAAAAUUUAAAACCUCAUGUUGGAGACAAAUUACAAUUAUAAAAAUGAGAUUCCUGUUGUUUUAUCUAACCUUGCAGGCCCAGAUUGUAGACUUUCAAAUGAAAGUUGUUCAAGUAGAUGUUACAGAAGUUUUCUGACAUAUGGAGUUGUGUUGGAAGCAUGCUGGUAGCUCACGAUUUGUCUCUCACUUUUAAGGAAAAAUAAAUACAGAUUUGAAUGGGAAUGUUCUGCUUAUACGGGUUUGACGAUCUUUGGAAUCUAUCAUGAUUAAAAGAGAAGUAUCGAAUAUUAUUGUGAGAGUGGUAGUUGGUAAACUUUUGCUGUCACGAAAGAUGAAUAUAGAGCUCUCACAUGUAAGACGCCAACAUAAACUAUAAUGUGAGUUUCUUCUUUUCUUUUAUUGUUCUUUCCACAUAUCUCUAAAUAUUCUAUGUUUUCUACGUUCUUACUAAUGCAACUCUUGGAUAAGAACCAUACAACAUGAAAGACUAGAUGUUUUAUGUUUUCCUCUGUUCUUAUCAGAAAAUGUAUUUUUCUUUCUAUUUUAGCUAAUUUAGAAUGGAAGGUUAGUUUGUUUAGAUCACUGAGGAAGCUAGAGAGCUUGAAAAGCAACUCAGACAGACCACUUAGGAGAAGAAUGAAGCUGUGCGAGGCCAAGACUUUGGGGAGGGGUUGUCUUCGAGUUUGUCUUACUGUCUAUAAACCCAAGAUAAGUGUUGUCCGAUAAAUCUAGCUGUCUUUUCCAAUAUUGAGCAGAGCCUCCACGCCGGUUAUUGGCCAACACGAAGCUGUCAAAGCCAUUAACCGGGAGAUUCGACGUGCAUGUGCUGGGCUCAAGAAUCCGAACCGCCCAAUCACAAGUUUCAUUUUAAAUGUUAAAACGAUUUUUCUUUAAAGUGUUCUAUGUACAUUAUAUUUUAUGUAAUUCUUUCAUGCUGCUUGAUCGUAGAUCUAAAACAUCACACUGGAUUGUGUUUCGCUGCAAACAGAUUUGUAAACUAUGCAUUUUAAAAAAUGUACUUAUCAUUUCUCAUA